UAUAUACCGGUUCUCGUUAGAUCACCGAAGUCAAGCAUCAUUGGGCGCGGUCAGUACUUGGGUGGGGGACCACCUGGGAACACCGCGUGCCGUU
rnacentral:rRNA from 1 species